rnacentral:rRNA from 1 species
CCUACGGGUGGCAGCAGUCAAGAAUCUUCCUCAAUGGCCGAAAGGCUGAAGGAGCGACGCCGCGUGCAGGAAGACGCUCUUCGGAGUGUAAACUGCUUUUAUUAGGGACGAAAAUUAUUGACGGUACCUAAUGAAUAAGGGGCUGCUAACCUCGUGCCAGCAGCAGCGGUAAUACGGGGGCCCCAAGCGUUAUCCGGAUUUAUUGGGCGUAAAGGGUCCGUAGGUUGUUUAUUGCAUCUCCUGUUAAAUCUUCAGGCUCAACUUGGAGGCUGCGGGAGAGAUGAAUAGACUAGAGGUCGGAAGAGGCAAACGGAAUUGCUGGUGUAGGGGUUAAAUCCGUUAAUAUCAGUAAGAACGCCGAAUGCGUAGGCAGUUUGCUAGAACGAACCUGACACUCAAGGACGAAAGCGUGGGGAGCGAACAGGAUUAGAUACCCUUGUAGUC